AUGGACUUGGGGUCCAGAACCUGGACACAGGCUCGAACCCAGGACAGGGGGGCAUUGGGGCCAGGCCUGCAGGAGCGACAAGGAGUGGAUUUCGGCUGCAGGCAGGGAGCCCCGCACCUGACCCCGGUCCCUGAGGUUGUCACCUCAGAGGGCACUUCUCCCCAGAGACCAGGCAGCCAGCAGGGGGGCCGGGCACCUCCCGCUGCACCUGGGCUAAGGUGCUCACUGAGUAGCCUCCCCCUCCCUGGAGCACAGGCCAGGCCCGGACACGGGGUGGGGAGGGGUCAGCACACCCUGGCCUUCCAGCCUCCUUCCUCCCGGACAACCGCCUGCGUGUUUCUCACAGCUCCCCCAGGUGGGCAGCCCCCCGCCCCUGCCCCCAGACCACCUCUCACAGGCAGAGGAGAGAGACACAGAGCCACAGCUUCCUCCAGAGGUGACCACCAGUGGCGAGCGGCAGGGCCCACAGCCGGGAGGGUGUCCGCCCGGGAGGCCAGGGCGCUGGCCAGAAGCUUCGUGGAGGCCCCGCACGUGCACUCACUGCUGCGACGUGGAGUAGUCGUAGGUCAUGAGGCUGAAGCCGUCCAUCACGGGGGCAAGCUGCUCGAACUCCUUGUGCGUGAACGUGCCCAGCCGGUCAGUCCUGCAGAGACCAGCAGACCACGUGGGCUCCUGGCGUGGCCCUCGGGCCUCUCCCGGGGCUGCCCCAGCUCCACUGCUGCCAGGGUCCAGCAGGAUCCCAGGCCGCUGUGGGGGUCACCGGCCCACUCCCCCUCCCUGCCCUCCCCUCUGCGAGGGUCCUGGGUCACUUUUCCCCAGACAGUGCUGGCCGCGAUUGCUCAGAGGCUGGGCACCGGUUUGGGGGCUGGCAGGGCUGCAGGCGGGCGGGGCAGAGGUGUCCCUCUCUGCUUGCCAUGGAGGUGGCCUCUGCAGGCAGGGCUGGGAGCUGCACAGUGCAGCAGGACGAUCCCAAAGGGGUGGGCAGGCGGGGGCCAGGCCAGAAUCACCCAGGCCCCUGCUGCCCACGGGACACCGCUCCUCCCUGGGCUCUGCCUCGCAGCGGGAGCGCCUGUUCUUGCUCUCAGGGGACCCAGGAAGGCCCACCUGCUCUGCCCACAGCAGCCCUGA
rnacentral:lncRNA from 1 species